GAUUUCAUAUAGGAUUUACUCUAUGUUCUAACUUAAUACUCCAUUAUUAUCCCCAUUUUUUAAAAUGAGGGAAUUGAGUCAAUAAGAGGUUAAAUAGUAGACAGUAAAUUCAGGACCAGAAACCAGAACAGGGGUUGAGAGAGCCACAGUAGAAAACUUUCUCAAUCCUUCAGAGUGUCACAUCGCUAUACAUAGGACUUGGUGCUGGGAAUAUGGUGGUAAAUGAGGUAGGAAGAGUUCCUGAUUUCAUAAAACGUAAAAUCACACAAUUUAUUUUAUUUCCAUAAUAUAAGGCAGACUAUAUUUAAGGAUCUCACAUAGUCUGGGAGAUUCAGGCAAAGCAUCUCCAAAGAAAGGGCAUUUUGGUUGAGAUCUGAGGUAUGAAUAGGAUUCACAAAGUCCAGUGGAAAUGGGAAGUAGGAGAGGCAGGGGCCACACUAUGACUUUUGUGGGCCCUGGGCACUUUUGCCUUCAAGGGCCCCUUCUUCCAUACAAAUAUAAAAAAGCACAUUUUGCAAUUAUACUGAUAUGAAAAGAGAUAUGUUAAGAUUAUAUACUAAAACAUUUUCUUUGACCUAAAAGGGGUUUUUUCUUAUUUUUUUUCUAAAAAGUAAAAUGUUUCUAUGUACUCCUAAAAGUAUUUUUGGCCCUAGGCUCUUUCACCCACUCUGCUAGUGGAUAAGUCAGCCUAGAGGUGAGGGCUGAGCCAGAAACAUUUCAGAUGGAAGAACAGCAUCAGGCCUUGCUUGCUCAGAAAACUGACAGGGGACCAGUGUGGCUGGAGCUGAGAGUGCAGGCAGGGAGGCAUGGGGUGAGGCUGUGAGCCAGGCAAGGCCCUGUGGGCCAUUUUAGAAUUUUUACAUUUAUCCUAAGAGCUAUGGAAAACCUCCAAGGGGUGUGUGUAUGUAUGUUUGUGUUUGUGCGUCUGUGUGUCUGUGUGUGCAUGUGUCAGUGUGUGCUUAAAUCAAAUUGAUAUAUGCACAUGGUUAAAAUCAAUAAUUCUUUGGUUCAGCUUUUCCCAGUGAAGCCGCACUUCUCUUUCCAGUUUUCCUUUUGGUAUUUAUCUUCAUUUAUCCAGCUAAAUGUAAUUUGCUUUCACCUCACAUUUUUUAAUUUAUGAUCUUUAGGGAUCAUAUAGUCACACGCACACACUUGCACACACACAUGCAUACAGAAAUCAAGGAGGCAGUAUAAGUUCUCUUACAUAGCUACUCCACCUCCACCUUUUCUCUAUCGUUUUUCAUGAGUUUUAUCUCUGUCUUUGGUUUCUCUGUUAUAACUGUGGGACAAAAACCAAAUACUUUUAUUUCUUGUCCCAUUAAAUAUAGGUGCUCCUUUGGGCUUGUCCCCUCUAUCAGAUGAGGAUAAGAGCAUCCACAUUCUCUGUGGUUCUGUCAGAUUGUUUGUUUGUUUGUUUGUUUUUUAUAUUCUAAAAUCAAUGCCAUUUACAUCUAUUUUAUAACCACAUUCAAGUGUUUAUAUCAUUAUGUGAAAAGUGCCUUGCAUUUGCUGUUCCCUCCACCUGGAACAUCCAUGUACCCACAGGCCCACCUUGCUUGAGCUUUCCCUCCCUUAAGUUCUUGACCCAAGGGGCAGCUGCUCAGUAGAGCUGUUCCUGACCGUCUUAAUCCUAAGUAGCAACUCCUCCACCUGGGAUCCUGGCUUUGCUUUCUGUUAUGUUUCUCUCUGUCACACUUAUGGGUGAUAAAAAUCAUAUGUUUUAUUUCACUGAAUUUUUAACAUUAUUGUCGCUUUCCCCAUGCUUGACUAUAGCUUCAAGAACAUAAGGAUUAUCUACCUUAAUUUGUUUGACUUUUUUGUUGUAUUAUUUUCCCCUCACUGUUAUAUUCUCAGGGGCUAAAACAGCGCCAGACACAAAAUUAUUUGAGUUUAUGAUUAAUUAUAGUCCCAAGUAGUCUUCUUUAAUUAUAUGUCCUUAGGCAGUUUUUUUUUGGCUUUCUUAAAAUUUGUAAUUCCUUUUUUUGUUUUUCUCACAUUGUUUUCCUUUAUCACAUUCCAGUUCUUUCCAACUCUUGAUUAUGUGAAAUAUUCCGGGGCAUCUCUUUCCCUGUUUUGUUCUUUUCCCUGGGAACAGCUCUUCUAGAACCUACAUCCUUUGGCUGCACAGCUGUCAUCCUGGGGCUUCUCUUCUGUCCUCUUCUCAACCCAUAUUUUUUCUCUUUUUCAUGGUAUAUUCUCCUUUAAUGAAGCAUAUCCCUGAGCAACUUUCUAGGAAAGAAUAUAUGGAUGAUGCAUUUUUUGAACUUUCACGUUUGAAGUGUCCUUGUAUUUUAUCCUCAGUAGAAGUAUACCCGGGUUCUAACAUCAGAGGGUAUAAGCGUGGGGACAGGGCCUGACCGGGGAAGAGGGGAAAGGUGGGGUGUGCGCAUCAGUGUUAGAGAAGGAGAAAAAGCAUUGAAAGGUGCCAUACUUUCACUCUACACUACACACUGUCUAAACACUGGCAUUUUGUACCACUUACACUACUAACUUUUUGUUACAAUAGUCUUAACAAUCAAUGUGUUAAAAACUGUAGAAAAGAUACCGCCUUUGGAGAAUGUGUUGAGGAUAAGCAGUUGAUGCCUUUCUAACUGCUUGCCAUCUGAAUUCUAGUUUGUGUGGGACCCUAGGGUACAAAUCAUUUUUUCUAUGAACUUCGAAAAUGCUCCCUGGUCUUCUCAAAUGUAUUAACACCAGCCUGAGUUAGUCCUUUGUAGCUCAUCUCCUUUUUCCCUCUGGCAACUUUUGGGGUCCAUUCUUGUUUUUCUUGGUGCUUUUCAGAAGCCUCGGUGUAGGCUUUUUUUCUGUUCAUGUUAUAUGCAGUGAGCACUUUCAUUUGAGGAGUUUAAUCUCAUAUUAAUUCUUCAGUAGUGUCAUCCCUUUUUUCCUUUAGUUUCCUCUUAUUUUUUCCUUCUAUAACUUUUGUUAUUCCAUGAAGAACCACAUGAGCUGAACAUCUGAUGUCUCAUCUUUACCAUAAUAUUUUCUGUUUCUUUUUAAAUCUAUUUCCAGGCAGUGCUUUCAAUUCCUAAAACCAAACCAAAAAAAAAGAGAGUCAUAGGAGAGUUGAAAUAUAAAAUUGUGUUUUUAUUUUCCCAGAGUCUUUCAUAUUCUCUGGGGGUUUUGUUUGUUUGUCUUUGUUUGUUUGAAGAUGAAGAUAGUGAUUAAGAGCACAGAUUAUGGAGCCAGACUGAAUUUGAAUCCCCAUCUCCCACUUAGUAACUCUGUGACCUUGAGCAAUUUUAAAUUCUCUUCCUCUGUCCUAAUCUGAAAUGGAGAUAAUGGUAGUAUACCUAUCAGAGUUCUUAGGAUUAAAUGAGUUUAUAAACAUAAAACACUUAGAACAAAGUCUGGCAUAUAGUAAGCCUUUUGUGUAUUUGCUAUUAUCAUUACAUUAUAAACAUCAUUAUUAUUUUGUGUAUGAUGUCUUCUCACUGUCCCUGAGGGCACUACCCUUUUUUUCCCUAAAUUCUAAAUUACCCAGUUUAGCUUAUGUUUUCAGUUUGCUUUUACUUUCUCUUUUUUUUUAAUGCAAGAAGCUUUCUUUAAAUAUCUGGCAGGUUUUGGUUACAAAUUCAUGUAUAACAGUGAGAAAAUAAACAACUGAUUGGGAGCUUUGCAUACAAAGGCAGAUUUUCCUGAUUUCAGGUGUUUAAGAUGGUUAGGCCAGGGACCUAGUCAUUACAAUCCAGAGCCCCUAAAUGUCAGAUAUCAAAGCAAUUCUUUGCUCUAGGAUUGAUUUUCCCCAAAAGGAGCCCUUUGAUAGUUUUUAUAGGAAUGCUUUGCUUCAGUGGAUGUGGAUGCAACCGUUACAUACACAAACAUUAAAUUAACCUCCCCACUUUCAGUCCCACUUCUCACUUCUGCUCUCAUUGCUGCUCUCUUACCAGGCAUCCCUGAGCCUCUGAAUCUCUCUGUGGUUUUAAAGAUUGCUGUGCCCAUCUUAGUUUUUGCCACUCCAUAUCUGCUCUAGGAUAAGGUUUCCUUGCUCCACCUUAGUAUUUUUCUGUUAUUUUCCUGCUCACAUUCCUUUUUUGAAAUCUCUAAUCUGUUGAUGCUCCGUCCCUCAUCCUUUGUAGUGUUACUUAUUUUUUAUUCUUGUACUCUCAUUUUAGUAGGUCUUAAAAGAGGUAAAAACAUGUGUGAUCUCUGUCCCAUCUUUAACUAGAAAUCGUUGAAUAUUUGUAAGCAGAAAAAUGAACAGAUCAAAUGUCAUUUCACAAAGACCCACCUGGUUAGAGUUUGAAGUAUAGCAGCAUAAACUAAAAGACUUGGUUUUCAUAAAUGUAAUUCUGUGAUGCUUAUAAUACUUAGCACACAACAUAGAUAAUAAAACUAUUUAUUAAAAUAAUGACAUAAAUAGUAUAUUCUUAGACAUAUGUAAAUCAUAUUUCAUAUUUAAUGGAAUACUGUCAUCUAGAAACAAUACUUUCUUCUACUAAAAGCAAAAUAUUAUGUCAACAUAAAAUUUUAAUAAAUUAUACUAUAUUUAUAUAAUAUGUUAUUCUCCAGGCCGAAACAGAAGUGACUUGCUAUAGAAAUCAUAUAAUCUCUACAUACUCUAGCAGGGCUUUUCCACCUAUCUCUUACUAUUGAAUGUAAAUGCAAUUUUGCAUAGAAUAGCAGUAAAUUAGUCUUAAAUUAGCCUUUGAUUUAGAAUUUUAUGAUUCUUUAUUUACAGUAAAUUGACAGCUAUGAAGAUCAAAAUACUUUCUCAUAAGGUGGCAAUGAUGAUUAAAUGAGAUAAAAUAUAUAAUGCUCAUUUUCUCCUUCUUCAUACUGUAGACCCAUUUUUAAGCCACCUCUAGAAUAUCUCCAUAACUAGAGUAAAUUCACUGAUCAAAUCCACUAACCUGUGUCUAUAUGAAAAUUUUGGUAUUUUAAAGGGAACUGCUGCCAACUUAUGGCAUGUUAUAUGUGAAAAGUGCCUUUUCUGCUGUCUUGCAGUAUUAAGCAGCUCCUUUGUGUCCUUGAUUAAAAGAUACAUGUAAGCUUUAGUGCUAUUAAAGAAAUAUAUAUUAAUUACAGCCCAAGUCUUUAUAAUGUGAAUAAUUUCUUUAUCAAAGUUCCAGCUCUAUAAAUUGUAUUCACUUAAAUGUUUUUCAGUAUUUUCCAUCUUAAUUAUUGUGCUGUCGUAUGUGUGAUUUCCCCUUAGGGAUAUUGAAUAGAAUAAGAAAAAUGCUCUUAGACAAGUUGCAUUCAUUUGAAUCUCCCUUAAAAAGAACUACACAUAUAUAAAAAUUAUAUGUGGUAGAGUUUUAUUACACAUUAUUAGGCUCUCUCAUUUACUUCCUGUCUUCCACACAACUUGGGGGAGGGGAAAGGAGAAAUUUUAAAUCCAUAACCUAAUAAAUUCAGUAGGUUUU
rnacentral:lncRNA from 1 species